UACAGAGGGGGCAAGCGUUGUUCGGAAUUACUGGGCGUAAAGCGCACGUAGGCGGCUUUGUAAGUUAGAGGUGAAAGCCCGGAGCUCAACUCCGGAACUGCCUUUAAGACUGCAUCGCUUGAAUCCAGGAGAGGUGAGUGGAAUUCCGAGUGUAGAGGUGAAAUUCGUAGAUAUUCGGAAGAACACCAGUGGCGAAGGCGGCUCACUGGACUGGUAUUGACGCUGAGGUGCGAAAGCGUGGGGAG
rnacentral:rRNA from 1 species